GACGAACGCUGGCGGCGUGCUUAACACAUGCAAGUCGAACGAAGAGCGAUGGAAGCUUGCUUCUAUCAAUCUUAGUGGCGAACGGGUGAGUAACGCGUAAUCAACCUGCCCUUCAGAGGGGGACAACAGUUGGAAACGACUGCUAAUACCGCAUACGAUCUAAUCUCGGCAUCGAGGAUAGAUGAAAGGUGGCCUCUACAUGUAAGCUAUCACUGAAGGAGGGGAUUGCGUCUGAUUAGCUAGUUGGAGGGGUAACGGCCCACCAAGGCGAUGAUCAGUAGCCGGUCUGAGAGGAUGAACGGCCACAUUGGGACUGAGACACGGCCCAGACUCCUACGGGAGGCAGCAGUGGGGAAUCUUCCGCAAUGGACGAAAGUCUGACGGAGCAACGCCGCGUGAGUGAUGACAGCCUUCGGGUUGUAAAGCUCUGUUAAUCGGGACGAAAGGCCUUCUUGCGAACAGUUAGAAGGAUUGACGGUACCGGAAUAGAAAGCCACGGCUAACUACGUG
rnacentral:rRNA from 1 species